rnacentral:rRNA from 1 species
GAUUAACGCUGGCGGCAUGCCUAAUACAUGCAAAUCGAACGAAGCCUUUUGGCUUAGUGGUGAACGGGUGAGUAACACGUAUCCAAUCUACCCUUAAGUUUGGGAUAACUAGUCGAAAGAUUAGCUAAUACCGGAUAAUAACAUUCACUUGCAUGAGUGAAUGUGGAAAGUUGCGUUUGCAACGCUUUUGGAUGAGGGUGCGACGUAUCAGAUACUUGGUGAGGUAACGGCUCACCAAGUCGACGAUCAGUAGCCGGUCUGAGAGGAUGAACGGCCACAUUGGGACUGAGAUACGGCCCAG